ACAGAUAACAUUGAUCUACAUCAAAUGGUUCUCUAGCACAGUGCAACCAACAAAGCCUGGAUGGACUUCACCAGGGGUAAUGGUGAAAGUUGUUGCUCAGGCAGUCCUUCAGGGCCAAGGAUGACUUACUUCAACUCUGAUUUUGUAGGCUCUGGGUUGCCUAAUGAGGUCCAUGUGGGAACCACAGACUCUUCCAGAUCUGGUGGUCACCAAGUAAAGAGAUGCCUGAUACAUUAUACAGAUGGUUCAUCCUCCAAGAGCUGUGCAAAUAUGGGCCCAUUAAUUCAGUGAUCUUUUCUGGAGAGAAAUGCAGCCAAGUUGUGUUCAGUAAUAUUCUGUCAGCG